UAUAAUGUUAUAUACUUUUUAUAGACAUAAAAAAUGAUGGUAAAUUUCAGACCAUACUAAUAGAUUUCUAUGAAAAACAUAAACUCAAGACCAUUGAACAUUCUGACGAUGCACCUGAAACAAGUGUUAACAAUAAAAAACCUAAACUCAAUACCAUUAUACAUUCUGACGAUGCACCUGAAGUAUCUGUUGACAACAGACGGUUUGAAGAUGAUGAAUCUUUUGGAAUUGUUAAAAAUCUAUUCACGAAUCAAUUCACAGAACCUUGGAGCCCAGAAGAAUUAAAAAAAAAAUUGGAUGACAUGAGUAAGUUUACAUGACUGCUUACCGGCUAUCACAUAGUUAUAAUAAUAUAAUAUUACAUUUUAUUAUUUGAUAAUAAAUUUAUAUAUUAUAUCAUUAUAAUUCAGGAUCAGGGAAGAGGGAAUUAAUUCAGUAUAAAAUAGUAUAUAGUAAAUUGUAGUCUUGUUGUAUACUUUAUCAGUAAUAUAACGGUCACACGUACUAUUAACAGUAGAAGGAUAAAUUAUGUAAUUAACAAGUAGUUGUAAAAAACUCAUUUUUUUUUCAAAAUUAUUAUCUGUGGGUGUACCUAAUAUGUAGGUAGUUAAUAUUCGUGUGCCGUUUUCUUCCUACGUGGUGUGAUUAAUACGACACACAGAUUUUUAAUACAUCUCUUAAUAUUAUAAAUCAUCAUAAAGUUAAUGUUACAAGCACCGCUCACCUUUCAUGUUCCUUGCUGUUUUUUUUUAUUUUAAACCUACAUACACUUUUAUAAUAUAUGUUUGUAUGACCAGCUAGUGUAUACUAAAAUCUUUUGUUACUUAUAUAUAGUAUCAGUUUAUAAAAUCGAUGUUGUAUUUUAUUAUCCACUGGGUGUGUUUGCUUAUAAUUAUGCGCAUAAUAGUCCUCAAGAAAUGUUAAGAUCAGUGGCAGCGUAUUGUAAUGCUUACAGCAUAUUUAUAGAAGCAGUAAAUGAAAAAAAAUAGUAGUACAAAAAAGAAAACUGAAUUUUCCAGUCCUAUCGGACUGAUGCGUUCGAAGUUUUGCCGUUGACGGCACCAUGCAGUCGAGGUUGGUCAGGUUUACAACGCCAGAACGCCCCAUGAUAGCAAGGUUUUUUACAAGCGGCUGACUGAAUCCAGAUUACUGCGUAACAGAACCCUACUCGUAACCUACUCGGUGAGAUCUCUCCCGCCGGAACAACGUCUUUCCACUCAGCUAACGUGGCACAUCUAUCGGUUAAGGACGUCGGUCACGCGCCGUCUUAGGCGUAAGAGAGCUAACGACGGCCUUCUGCGAUUAUCACCUCACGCAAUCAACCAUAUACGGGACAUUAGAAACUGUGUUAGAAAGCUUUUAAAGCCCGUAUCCAUCUGUCGCGACACGGGCUGUCGACGAGCGCCGUGGUUUGUCAGCUCCGCGACACCCAGCGAAACACACAGGCCUCAUAGUAACUACUUAUUCGUAAACCUGAUGACGGGGAUCGUAAGACCACUCCCACUGGUGUUUUUACACCUUUAGUCAUAUUUUACAAGGGCGGCUCGUUCACGCCUUGUGUGGCGCGGUCUCAUCCCUCCUGGGUACAUUGAGCACCCGAGCGCUAGACAAUGUUUUUCCAGCAACUCUCGUUUGAGGCUGAUCGGUGGGUUUAAAGUCCCGCGUCGGCGAGCACCGAACGAUGAGUUGAGACAAAUUCCUCCUCUCUUACUAAGACGCUACUCCCACAGUCUCCGCGAGGCUAUCCACGUAAGUCACGGGCGCGCGGACACCCGAGGUGUACGCGCACGCCAGCCGGACGUACGUAACAAAGCUACUCGGAGCACUGGUACCGUUCGGGCGUUAACAAAGUCUGGUUUCCGGGGGGGCUCAUUUACUCCUGUGGAAUGAGAUUUCGGAAUCCAAGUAUUCCCUGUUCUCACAACAACUGGUUUUCCGCUAGCAUUGAUGCUGGGAUAGGGUUACUGUCACGACACGACCUUUUUGAGCGUUAUGGUUUUUAAGACAGAUGCCGUGUCCGCACCGAAUCAUCGGGUUUGAGUGCUUUCUGAUAGAUGACUCCCAGCCAGUCUUCUAUACGUACGCGUUCGUCCACGAGUUGGCUGGGCUUGGGAAUUCUCAGUCAGGAUUAUGCGAGAGUAUUCGGCUUGUAAAUGGAGGUCUGUGGCUGUGUUAUCCAACACGCACCACUGCGAUUUGCAUAGACCUACCGGUGUGUCGCAGGAAGCCUAAUGCUCCCAAUCGGGUAAGUUUUUCCCGUGCGGAAUAGAAAGUUGCCCCUCAUCACCUCAGGUCCUCGUCACUUAAGGACCGGUUUUGAGGUCUUUUGACACACCUACCAGGAUUACCCUUCCACGCUAUACGUUUCAAUGUUCUUAAACGCCUCAAACACGGUUGUUAGUUUUGCCGUGGGUCCACGCCACCAAAGAUUCUCAUUUCACAUAUAUAUAUAGUUAGAUAGGUGGAGGCUAUGGUGAUUUUAGUCUUCUAGUCAUUAAUCCAUCUAUUAUCUACAUUAUGAAGACGUGGUACUAGCAUACCAGCUAUAUUGUCUCUCCGUUCAGUGCGUUACAGAUCAAAUUUUCUCCAUUAGUUUAACAAUUAGAGUGAAUCGACCUCUUAUACAAUUUAAAAGUAUGAUUAUUAUCUAGGCAACCUCGUAGGUUUUGUAUUAUAAUUUAA